GACGAACGCUGGCGGCGUGCCUAAUACAUGCAAGUAGAACGCACAGUUUAUACCGUAGCUUGCUACACCAUAGACUGUGAGUUGCGAACGGGUGAGUAACGCGUAGGUAACCUGCCUGGUAGCGGGGGAUAACUAUUGGAAACGAUAGCUAAUACCGCAUAAUAUUAAUUAUUGCAUGAUAAUUAAUUGAAAGGUGCAAUUGCACCACUACCAGAUGGACCUGCGUUGUAUUAGCUAGUAGGUGAGGUAACGGCUCACCUAGGCGACGAUACAUAGCCGACCGGAGAGGGUGAGCGGCCACACUGGGACUGAGACACGGCCCAGACUCCUACGGGAGGCAGCAGUAGGGAAGCUUCGGCAAUGGACGAAAGUCUGACCGAGCAACGCCGCGUGAGUGAAGAAGGUUUUCGGAUCGUAAAGCUCUGUUGUAAGAGAAGAACGGGUGUGAGAGUGGAAAGUUCACACUGUGACGGUAUCUUACCAGAAAGGGACGGCUAACUACGUG
rnacentral:rRNA from 1 species